rnacentral:rRNA from 1 species
UACAGAGGUCUCAAGCGUUGUUCGGAAUUACUGGGCGUAAAGGGUGCGUAGGCUGCGCAGAAAGUCAGAUGUGAAAUCCGGGGGCUCAACCUCCGAAUUGCAUCCGAUACUCCUGUGCUAGAGGACUGGAGAGGAGCUUGGAAUUCUCGGUGUAGCAGUGAAAUGCGUAGAGAUCGAGAGGAACACUAGUGGCGAAGGCUGGGCUCUGGACAGUAUCUGACGCUGAGGCACGGAAGGUCAGGGGAGCAAACGGG